rnacentral:tRNA from 1 species
UGACCUGCGGCCCGGAAUCACGCGGAAAUCGGUUUUGCUGGAGCCGUCUGGACGCCUGGGGGUCAGGGGGUCGCAGGUUCAAAUCCUGUCAGCCCGAC